AGCAAACAGGAUUAGAUACCCUGGUAGUCCAACGCCCUAAACGAUGUCGACUAGCUGUUGGGGCCUUCGGGCCUUGGUAGCGCAGCCUUACGCGUGAAGUUGACCGCCUGGGGAGUACAGGUCGCAAGAUUAAGAACUCAAAGGAAUUGACGGGGACCCGCACAAGCGGUGGAUGAUGAUGGAGUUAAUUCGAUGCAACGCGAAAAACCUUACUCUACCCUUGACAUGUCUGGAAUGCCGAAGAGAUUUGGCAGUGCUCGCAAGAGAACCGGAACACAGGUGCUGCAUGGCUGUCGUCAGCUCGUGUCGUGAGAUGUUGGGUUAAGUCCCGCAACGAGCGCAACCCUUGUCAUUAGUUGCUACGAAAGGGCACUNUAAUGAGACUGGCGGUGACAAACCGGAGGAAGGUGGGGAUGACGUCAAGUCCUCAUGGCCCUUAUGGGUAGGGCUUCACACGUCAUACAAUGGUCGGGACAGAGGGUCGCCAACCGCGAGGGGAGCCAAUCCCAGAAACCCGAUCGUAGUCCGGAUCGCAGUCUGCAACUCGACUGCGUGAAGUCGGAAUCGCUAGUAAUCGCGGAUCAGCAUGUCGCGGUGAAUACGUUCCCGGGUCUUGUACACACCGCCCGUCACACCAUGGGAGUGGGUUUUACCAGAAGUAGUUAGCCUAACC
rnacentral:rRNA from 1 species